rnacentral:rRNA from 1 species
GCCUGUGAAAACGGGCAGGAUGUAUCGAUCAUAUAGGCGAUUGGCCGUCUCCCAUGUUCCGGCGCCAUGCGGCGCGUGAAUUUGGUUCCAGCAGCGCGGUAUACGAAAGGGCGAGCGUUAACUGGAAUUCUGGGCGUAAAGCGCGCGUAUGGGGUUUGCUAAGUCAGAUGUGAAAGUCCCGGGCUCAACCUGGGAAAUGCAUUUGAAACUGGCAGGCUAGAAUGCAGUCGAGGGAGGAGGAAAUUUCGGAGUAGCGGUGAAAUGUGUAGAGAUCGGAAGGAACACCACAGGGGAAGGGGGCCUCCUGGACUGACAUUGACGCUGAGGUGUGAAAACGUGGGGAGCCAACACGGUUAGGUACCCCGGUAGUGCCCGCCGUAAACGAAGUGUACUAGUCGCUGGGAAUUCUAGUAUUCUUGGUGACGAAGGUAACGCCAUAAGUAGGCCGCCUGGGGAGUACGGCCGCAAGGUUAAACUCAAAUGAAUUGGCGGGGGGCCGCCCCAGCGGUGGAGCCUGUGGUUUAAUUUGAUGCAACGCGAAGAACCUUACCCGGCCCUGACCUCCUUGGAACUUUCUAGAGAUAGAUUGGUGCCUUCGGGAACCAAGUGACCGGUGGUGCAUGGCCGUUGUCAGCUUGUGUUGUGAGAUGGUGGGUUAAGUUCCGUAACGAGCGCCACCCUUGUCCCUAGUUGCCAGCCAGUAAUGGUGGGAACUCUAGGGAGACUGCCGGUGACAAACCGGAGGAAGGUGGGGACGACGUCAAGUCAUCAUGGCCCUUACGGCCUGGGCUACACACGUGCUACAAUGGGCAGUACAGAGGGCAGCAAAGUCGCGAGGCCAAGCAAAUCCCUUAAAGCUGUUCGUAGUCCGGAUUGGAGUCUGCAACUCGACUCCAUGAAGUCGGAAUCGCUAGUAAUCGCGGAUCAGAAUGCCGCGGUGAAUACGUUCCCGGGCCUUGUACACACCGCCCGUCACACCAUGGGAGUGGAUUGCACCAGAA